UCUAAUAUGACAGAAAAGUGUACUGGAUUUAAACCCCAAUAAUAGAAAUUUUAAUUUCUUUUUAGAA
rnacentral:tRNA from 1 species